rnacentral:rRNA from 1 species
UACGGGGGGGGCAAGCGUUGUUCGGAAUUACUGGGCGUAAAGGGCUCGUAGGUGGCCAACUAAGUCAGACGUGAAAUCCCUCGGCUUAACCGGGGAACUGCGUCUGAUACUGGAUGGCUUGAGUUCGGGAGAGGGAUGCAGAAUUCCAGGUGUAGCGGUGAAAUGCGUAGAUAUCUGGAGGAAUACCGGUGGCGAAGGCGGCAUCCUGGACCGACAUUGACGCUGAGGAGCGAAAGCCAGGGGAGCAAACGGG